CCCCAUACUCCUUCUCAUUAUAAGAUGAGUCGGGAAAGUUUUUUCGCUAAAGGAUUGGGCUAUAUGGUAUCAGCUUGUUGGUGAGGUAACGGCUCACCAAGGCUAUGACGCCUAACUGGUCUGAGAGGAUGAUCAGUCACACUGGAACUGAGACACGGUCCAGACUCCUACGGGAGGCAGCAGUGGGGAAUAUUACACAAUGGAGGAAACUCUGAUGUAGCAACGCCGCGUGGAGGAUGACACAUUUCGGUGCGUAAACUCCUUUUAUAUGGGAAGAUAAUGACGGUACCAUAUGAAUAAGCACCGGCUAACUCCGUGCCAGCAGCCGCGGUAAUACGGAGGGUGCAAGCGUUACUCGGAAUCACUGGGCGUAAAGCGCAUGUAGGCGGUCUUGUAAGUUGGGUGUGAAAGCCUAUGGCUCAACCAUAGAACUGCACCCAAAACUACUAGACUAGAGUCUGGGAGAGGAAAAUGGAAUUAGUUGUGUAGGGGUAAAAUCCGUAGAGAUAACUAGGAAUACCAAAAGCGAAGGCAAUUUUCUGGAACAGUACUGACGCUCAGAUGCGAAAGCGUGGGUAGCAAACGGGAUUAGAUACCCUGGUAGUCCACGCCCUAAACGAUGAAUGUUAGUCGUCGGGAGGCUCGUCCUUUCGGUGAUGCAGCUAACGCAUUAAACAUUCCGCCUGGGGAGUACGGACGCAAGAUUAAAACUCAAAGGAAUAGACGGGGACCCGCACAAGUGGUGGAGCAUGUGGUUUAAUUCGAAGAUACGCGAAGAACCUUACCUAGCCUUGACAUUGAUAGAAUCCGAUGGAAACAUUGGAGUGCCAGUUUACUGGAGCUUGAAAACAGGUGCUGCACGGCUGUCGUCAGCUCGUGUCGUGAGAUGUUGGGUUAAGUCCCGCAACGAGCGCAACCCUCGUCCUUGGUUACUAACGGUUCCGCCGAGGACUCUAAGGAGACUGCCUUCGUAAGGAGGAGGAAGGUGAGGACGACGUCAAGUCAUCAUGGCCCUUACGGCUAGGGCGACACACGUGCUACAAUGGAUAGGACAAUGAGACGCAAUACCGCGAGGUGGAGCAAAUCUAUAAACCUAUUCUCAGUUCGGAUUGUAGUCUGCAACUCGACUACAUAAAGCUGGAAUCACUAGUAAUCGUAGAUCAGCCAUGCUACGGUGAAUACGUUCCCGGGUCUUGUACUCACCGCCCGUCACACCAUGGGAGUUGAUUUCACC
rnacentral:rRNA from 1 species